rnacentral:rRNA from 1 species
CCUACGGGAGGCUGCAGUGGGGAAUAUUGCGCAAUGGGCGCAAGCCUGAUCCAGCCAUGCCGCGUGUAUGAAGAAGGCCUUCGGGUUGUAAACUACUUUCGGCAGGGAAGAGGAGAAUACAGUACCUGCCGUUUCUGCUUCGGCUAACCACGAGCCAGCAGCCGGGGUAAUACGUAGGGGGCAAGCGUUGUACGGAUUUACUGGGAGUAAAGGGCGUGUAUCCGGGCUGUCAAGUCAGAUGUGAAAUCCGGGGGCUCAACCCCCGAACUGCAUUUGAUACUGGUGGUCUUGAGUAUCGGAGAGGCGGGCAGAAUUCCAGGUGUAGCGGUGAAAUGCGUAGAGAUUAGGAGGAACACCAGUGGCGAAGGCGGCCUGCUGGACGACGACUGACGGUGAGGCGCGAAAGCGUGGGGAGCAAACAGGAUUAGAUACCCGGGUAGUC